GGGAAUGUGGCUUAGUGGUAGAGUGCUUGCCUUACAUGCAUCAAACUCUAGGUUCAAUUCCUCAGUACCA
rnacentral:tRNA from 1 species